GGGUCCGCGUUCCAUUAGCUAGNUGGUAGGGUAAUGGCCUACCAAGGCAACGAUGAGUAGCUGGUCUGAGAGGAUGAUCAGCCACACUGGAACUGAAACACGGUCCAGACUCCUACGGGAGGCAGCAGUGGGGAAUAUUGCGCAAUGGGCGAAAGCCUGACGCAGCAACGCCGUGUGAGGGAUGAAGGCUUUCGGGUCGUAAACCUCUGUCAGAAGGGAAGAACGGGCAUUGGUCUAAUAGGCCUUUGUUUUGACGGUACCUUCAGAGGAAGCACCGGCUAACUCCGUGCCAGCAGCCGCGGUAAUACGGAGGGUGCAAGCGUUAUUCGGAAUUACUGGGCGUAAAGCGCACGUAGGCGGCCUUGUAAGUCAGGGGUGAAAUCCCACGGCUCAACCGUGGAACUGCCUUUGAAACUGCAGGGCUUGAAUCCUGGAGAGGGUGGCGGAAUUCCUGGUGUAGGAGUGAAAUCCGUAGAUAUCAGGAGGAACACCGGUGGCGA
rnacentral:rRNA from 1 species